rnacentral:lncRNA from 1 species
UUGGCACAAGCAGCAAAACUAUACCAGCCAAGCUAGCUGGACUUAUUCUUCAAGUUUGAGGUUAGUUGUUUAGCAUAAACAAAUGAAUUUUCAAAACUUUAAAUUAAUUCAUUUCAAUUCCAUGGUUUGAUAUGUUUGGAGACUUUAAAAAGGAAGAUGUCAGAUUUCAAAUCAGUGAUUUUAAUUCGCUGAUUUAUGUACGCUCACUAUUUCAGCAAGGUUGCUCCAAUUGCCACCAAACUUAUAGAAAUUUAACUGGACACAACAAAAAGAAGAGGGUAGACAUUCUGUAAUUAAAACCCAGCCCUCAACCCCCUUAAUAACCUCUAUCCUAAAUUUAAUCUCUAGUGUUUUUUGGCCAAAAUUUCUUUAGUUUACCACAUGGAGUUCCAAACAUGAGAAAUCUACAGCAAAGGCAUGGCGAAUGGAAAUGCAGGAUUUCAACACAAAAUUUGCUACAAAAUUACAAGUGAGCUUUCAACAAUCUUUCAAAUACCCAAAAAGGUUAUCAGGUUAUUCCUACCUUUAUUUCAAAUUGAAUGUCUAUCUUACUGUUUUAGGAUGUUUCAAAAUAAUAUUCACUUUCCAAAAAAAUAAAAAACAUUUUGUUAAUGUUGCUUUCAUUGAAAUACUAACUUAGGUUGAUCUCACUAGCUUUAUGAAACUUAAAAGAGUAAAAGUUGUCAAGAGACAAAAUACUCAUACCUAAAACUUUGUGCAAUUGCUAAAAAAAAAUGUGUAAUUUAAAAAGGAAACAUUAAAUUAGAAACAGAGGGUACAAUUAGAAGUUCAGGAACUAAAGUAAGUUGAGUGAAUGUUAAAUAACUAAUAGGGUAAUGCAACCUAUGAAUAAAACACCACAAAAUUCGAUCCUACAAUUUCUUGUGUUUGACAUUAUAUUAAAAAUUCAACGCUUUUGAACAAUCAACAUAAAACAAAGGAAAACUUAAGAAAAUGACUAGCUGAAAUGUAGGUCAUUUUUAACCAAAAUCUAACAGGAAAAAAAAUCUCCAAUGGGAUCCUCUUCACUGGCAAAAAAUUGUAUUGAUUAAGAUAAAUUUAAUCUCUAGUUUUUUUUUGGCCAAAAUUUCUUUAGUUUACCACAUGGAG